rnacentral:piRNA from 1 species
UGCUUUCUUCUUAUCAGAGUA